UACGGAGGAUGCAAGCGUUAUCCGGAAUGAUUGGGCGUAAAGCGUCCGCAGGUGGCAAUGUAAGUCUGCUGUCAAAGCGUCUGGCUCAACCAGAUAAAGGCAGUGGAAACUACAUAGCUAGAGUAAGGUAGGGGCAGAGGGAAUUCCUGGUGUAGCGGUGAAAUGCGUAGAGAUCAGGAAGAACACCGGUGGCGAAAGCGCUCUGCUGGACCUUAGCUGACACUGAGGGACGAAAGCUAGGGGAGCGAAUGGG
rnacentral:rRNA from 1 species